UACGUAGGGUGCAAGCGUUGUCCGGAAUUAUUGGGCGUAAAGAGCUCGUAGGCGGUUCGUCGCGUCGGCUGUGAAAACCCGGAGCUCAACUCCGGGCCUGCAGUCGAUACGGGCGGACUUGAGUGUUGCAGGGGAGACUGGAAUUCCUGGUGUAGCGGUGAAAUGCGCAGAUAUCAGGAGGAACACCAGUGGCGAAGGCGACUUCCUGGGCUGUUCUUGACGCUGAGGCGCGAAAGCUAGGGUAGCAAACGGG
rnacentral:rRNA from 1 species